rnacentral:rRNA from 1 species
CGGCAUGCUUUACACAUGCAAGUCGAACGGCAGCGGGGGCUUCGGCCUGCCGGCGAGUGGCGAACGGGUGAGUAAUGCAUCGGAACGUGCCCAUGUCGUGGGGGAUAACGUAUCGAAAGGUACGCUAAUACCGCAUACGUCCUGAGGGAGAAAGCGGGGGACCGUAAGGCCUCGCGCGAUUGGAGCGGCCGAUGUCGGAUUAGCUAGUUGGUGAGGUAAAGGCUCACCAAGGCGACGAUCCGUAGCGGGUCUGAGAGGAUGAUCCGCCACACUGGGACUGAGACACGGCCCAGACUCCUACGGGAGGCAGCAGUGGGGAAUUUUGGACAAUGGGCGCAAGCCUGAUCCAGCCAUGCCGCGUGAGUGAAGAAGGCCUUCGGGUUGUAAAGCUCUUUCGGCCGGGAAGAAAUCGUGUUCUCUAACAUAGGACAUGGAUGACGGUACCGGACUAAGAAGCACCGGCUAACUACGUGCCAGCAGCCGCGGUAAUACGUAGGGUGCGAGCGUUAAUCGGAAUUACUGGGCGUAAAGCGUGCGCAGGCGGUUUUGUAAGACAGAUGUGAAAUCCCCGGGCUUAACCUGGGAACUGCGUUUGUGACUGCAAGGCUGGAGUACGGCAGAGGGGGGUGGAAUUCCACGUGUAGCAGUGAAAUGCGUAGAGAUGUGGAGGAACACCGAUGGCGAAGGCAGCCCCCUGGGC